rnacentral:rRNA from 1 species
UACGUAGGGUGCGAGCGUUAAUCGGAAUUACUGGGCGUAAAGCGCUCGCAGGCGGCCCGAUGCGUCGUGCGUGAAACACCCCGGCUCAACUGGGGAGGGUCGUGCGAUACGGUCGGGCUUGAGGCCAGUAGGGGGAUGCGGAAUUCCAGGUGUAGCGGUGAAAUGCGUAGAUAUCUGGAGGAAUACCGGUGGCGAAGGCGGCAUCCUGGACAGUUCCUGACACUGAGGCACGAAGGCCAGGGGAGCAAACGGG